CCGGAGAGGGAGCCUGAGAAAUGGCUACCACAUCUAUGGAUGGCAGCAGGCGCGCAAAUUACCCAAUCCCGACCUGGGGAGGUAGUGACAAUAAAUAACAAUGCGGUUCCUUCUUUGGUUCUGCAAUUGGAAUGAGAACAAUCUAAACACCUUAACGAGGAGCAAUUGGAGGGCAAGUCUGGUGCCAGCAGCCGCGGUAAUUCCAGCUCCAAUAGCGUAUAUUAAAGUUGUUGCAGUUAAAAAGCUCGUAGUUGGAUUUCGGAGCGGUCGGGUUGGUCCGCCCAACGUGGUGUGCACUGGCCUUGGUGGUAUGGCUAGGGUAUGCCUCUUUCACGAGGGGCUGCCUUCAGUCUGCCGCCCUUGUUGCGUGUACACGUAGCAGGUGACCGUUCUUCUCCCUCGGAGACGGAGUCUGUCCUUCAGUGGAUGGGCUUUGGAUGCGAGGUGUUUACUUUGAAAAAAUUAGAGUGUUCAAAGCAGGCCUUAUCUUCGCUUGAAUACAUUAGCAUGGAAUAAUGGAAUAGGACUCUGUGCCUAUUUUGUUGGUUUGAAGGCAGAGAGUAAUGAUUAAUAGGGACAGUUGGGGGCAUUCGUAUUUAAUUGUCAGAGGUGAAAUUCUUGGAUUUCUGAAAGACGAACAACUGCGAAAGCAUUUGCCAAGGAUGUUUUCAUUAAUCAAGAACGAAAGUUAGGGGUUCGAAGACGAUCAGAUACCGUCGUAGUCCUAACCAUAAACAAUGCCGACUAGGGAUCAGCGUACGUUCGUUCUAUGGGACGUCGUUGGCACCUUACGAGAAAUCAAGAGUUUUUGGGUUCUGGGGGGAGUAUGGUCACAAGGCUGAAACUUAAAGGAAUUGACGGAAGGGCACCACCAGGAGUGGAGCCUGCGGCUUAAUUUGACUCAACACGGGAAAACUCACCAGGUCCGGGACAUAGUGAGGAUGACAGAUGAGAGCUCUUUCUUGAUUCUAUGGGUGUG
rnacentral:rRNA from 1 species